rnacentral:rRNA from 1 species
AAAUUGAAGAGUUUGAUCAUGGCUCAGAUUGAACGCUGGCGGCAGGCCUAACACAUGCAAGUCGAACGGUAACAGAAAGCAGCUUGCUGCUUUGCUGACGAGUGGCGGACGGGUGAGUAAUGUCUGGGAAACUGCCUGAUGGAGGGGGAUAACUACUGGAAACGGUGGCUAAUACCGCAUAACGUCGCAAGACCAAAGAGGGGGACCUUCGGGCCUCUUGCCAUCAGAUGUGCCCAGAUGGGAUUAGCUUGUUGGUGAGGUAACGGCUCACCAAGGCGACGAUCCCUAGCUGGUCUGAGAGGAUGACCAGCCACACUGGAACUGAGACACGGUCCAGACUCCUACGGGAGGCAGCAGUGGGGAAUAUUGCACAAUGGGCGCAAGCCUGAUGCAGCCAUGCCGCGUGUAUGAAGAAGGCCUUCGGGUUGUAAAGUACUUUCAGCGGGGAGGAAGGUGUUGUGGUUAAUAACCGCAGCAAUUGACGUUACCCGCAGAAGAAGCACCGGCUAACUCCGUGCCAGCAGCCGCGGUAAUACGGAGGGUGCAAGCGUUAAUCGGAAUUACUGGGCGUAAAGCGCACGCAGGCGGUCUGUCAAGUCGGAUGUGAAAUCCCCGGGCUCAACCUGGGAACUGCAUUCGAAACUGGCAGGCUUGAGUCUUGUAGAGGGGGGUAGAAUUCCAGGUGUAGCGGUGAAAUGCGUAGAGAUCUGGAGGAAUACCGGUGGCGAAGGCGGCCCCCUGGACAAAGACUGACGCUCAGGUGCGAAAGCGUGGGGAGCAAACAGGAUUAGAUACCCUGGUAGUCCACGCCGUAAACGAUGUCUACUUGGAGGUUGUGCCCUUGAGGCGUGGCUUCCGGAGCUAACGCGUUAAGUAGACCGCCUGGGGAGUACGGCCGCAAGGUUAAAACUCAAAUGAAUUGACGGGGGCCCGCACAAGCGGUGGAGCAUGUGGUUUAAUUCGAUGCAACGCGAAGAACCUUACCUGGUCUUGACAUCCACGGAAGAAUUCAGAGAUGGAUUUGUGCCUUCGGGAACCGUGAGACAGGUGCUGCAUGGCUGUCGUCAGCUCGUGUUGUGAAAUGUUGGGUUAAGUCCCGCAACGAGCGCAACCCUUAUCCUUUGUUGCCAGCGAUUAGGUCGGGAACUCAAAGGAGACUGCCAGUGAUAAACUGGAGGAAGGUGGGGAUGACGUCAAGUCAUCAUGGCCCUUACGACCAGGGCUACACACGUGCUACAAUGGCGCAUACAAAGAGAAGCGACCUCGCGAGAGCAAGCGGACCUCAUAAAGUGCGUCGUAGUCCGGAUUGGAGUCUGCAACUCGACUCCAUGAAGUCGGAAUCGCUAGUAAUCGUGGAUCAGAAUGCCACGGUGAAUACGUUCCCGGGCCUUGUACACACCGCCCGUCACACCAUGGGAGUGGGUUGCAAAAGAAGUAGGUAGCUUAACCUUCGGGAGGGCGCUUACCACUUUGUGAUUCAUGACUGGGGUGAAGUCGUAACAAGGUAACCGUAGGGGAACCUGCGGUUGGAUCACCUCCUUACCUUAAAGAA